AUGUCCCCUGUGGAGGAGGCCCCGGAACAGGAUCCGCCGGCACAUUCCAUCCCAAAUUCCAUUUUGGGAUCAAAGAGGAGAGCCACAUUCCUGGGAACACCGGAAGCCUCAAAGGAGGGGGGGGGGAUCCCAGCUCCGAGCGGAUCCCGGUGGGAUUUGAGGCCGCUCCGGAAUGGCCGGUCCAGGAGGAAAUUUGGGAAGAAGAAGCGGGAAUUCCAAGUGGAUCUCUGGGAAUGGGGCAGGCUUGGCCUUGAGCUCUGGAUGGGAAUUCCGGGAUGUGGGAAUCAGCAGGGCGGUGACCCCGGUGUCACCGUCACCUCCACGGUGUCCUCGUCGCUGUCGUCUGAGCUGCAGAUGAUGAUGCUGCUGAUCUCUGCAAGGGAAAUCCUGGGAUUCGGCAUCCCACGGGAUCAACAUUGCCACGUUUUGCAGCGGGAACCACCCCGAGCUCGCUGGGAGCAACCCCUGCAAUGGUGGGGACUUCAUGGAUCCUUCACAUGGAUCCUUCAUCCCAUGGAUCCUGCAUUCCAUGGAUCCUUCAUCCCAUGGAUCCUGCAUUCCAUGGAUCCCUCAUCCCAUGGAUCCCUCACCCCAUGGAUCCUUCACAUGGAUCCCUCAGCCCAUGGAUCCUGCACCCCAUGGAUCCCUCACCCCAUAGAUCCCUCACCCCAUAGAUCCCUCAUCCCAUGGAUCCUUCACAUGGAUCCUUCAUCCCAUGGAUCCUUCACAUGGAUCCUUCAUCCCAUGGAUCCUUCACCCCAUGGAACCCUCACCCCAUGGAUCCCUCAUCCCAUGGAUCCUUCACAUGGAUCCCUCAUCCCAUGGAUCCCUCAUCCCAUGGAUCCUUCACAUGGAUCCCUCACCCCAUGGAUCCUUCAGCCCAUGGAUGCUUCACAUGGAUCCUUCAUCCCAUGGAUCCUUCAUCCCAUGGAUCCUUCACAUGGAUCCUUCACCUCAUGGAUCCUCCACCCCAUGGAUCCCUCACCCCAUGGAUCCCUCACAUCCACAUCUUUGGCCAAGAUUCCCCUAAUGGGCACACAGAGAGGUCGGGAAAGAUCCCAUGGGACGGGGAAAAGCUGGGAUCACAAGGAUGCCGCCGUUCCCGCUCCCCACCUGUGUCCUCGGCACGGCUGCAGUUGUGCCGCGACGUGGAGGCGUGGGGCUCCCUCUGGAAUUCCCAGCAAAAUUCGAGAUGGCUGGGGCCCGGCACGUGGUCACAUUCCAGCUUCAGGAUUUUGGGAGAGAUCUGGCUGCCCCUCUCCACGUAGGGAAGCGGCCGCUUGGUCCAGCAGGAGAGAGGGAGAGGCUGGAAAAGCAGGAUUGGGAGGUGCUGGGGGUGGGAAGGCCUGGAUCGCACCGGAUCCCACCCGGAUCCAUGGGAUGGGCCUCACCUGGUCCGUAUGGAUCUCCUCGGGGAUGGGGGAGGUGCUCUGGGUUUUGGGAUGGAUUGGAUCCUCUCCCUGCGGGAAGGGCAUGGAGCAGCGUUAGGAUGAACUUGGAUCCUUCAUCCCAGGGAUCCUGCACCCCAUGGAUCCUUCACUCCAUGGAUCCUGCAUUCCAUGGAUCCUUCACUCCAUGGAUCCUGCAUUCCAUGGAUCCUUCACUCCAUGGAUCCUUCACAUGGAUCCUUCACACCCUGGAUCCUCCAUCCCAUGGAUUCUGCAUCUCAUGGAUCCUGCAGCCCAUUGAUGCUUCACUCCAUGGACCCUUCACCCCAUGGAUCCUGCAUCGCAUGGAUCCUUCACAUGGAUCCUUCAUCCCAUAGAUCCUUCACCCCAUGGAUCCUGCAUCGCAUGGAUCCUUCACAUGGAUCCUUCAUCCCAUGGAUCCUUCACCCCAUGGAUUCUGCAUCGCAUGGAUCCUGCAGCCCAUGUAUCCUUCACCCCAUGGAUCCUUCACAUGGAUCCUGCAUUCCACGGAUCCUUCACUCCAUGGAUCCUCCAUCCUAUGGAUUCUGCAUCCCAUGGAUCUUUCACCCCAUGGAUCCUCCAUCCCAUGGAUUCUGCUUCUCAUGGAUCUUUCAUCCCAUGGAUCCUUCACCCCAUUGAUGCUUUGCCCCAGGAAUGCUUCAACCCAUGGAUCCUGCAUUCCAUGGAUCCAUAAUCCCAUGGAUUCUGCAUCCCAUGGAUUCUUCACCCCAUGGAUCCUUCACAUGGAUCUUCCAUCCCAUGGAUCCUUUACUCCAUGGAUCCUUCACCCCAUGGGCCCUGCNCCUUCACCCCAUGGAUCCUGCAUCGCAUGGAUCCUUCACAUGGAUCCUUCAUCCCAUAGAUCCUUCACCCCAUGGAUCCUGCAUCGCAUGGAUCCUUCACAUGGAUCCUUCAUCCCAUGGAUCCUUCACCCCAUGGAUUCUGCAUCGCAUGGAUCCUGCAGCCCAUGUAUCCUUCACCCCAUGGAUCCUUCACAUGGAUCCUGCAUUCCACGGAUCCUUCACUCCAUGGAUCCUCCAUCCUAUGGAUUCUGCAUCCCAUGGAUCUUUCACCCCAUGGAUCCUCCAUCCCAUGGAUUCUGCUUCUCAUGGAUCUUUCAUCCCAUGGAUCCUUCACCCCAUUGAUGCUUUGCCCCAGGAAUGCUUCAACCCAUGGAUCCUGCAUUCCAUGGAUCCAUAAUCCCAUGGAUUCUGCAUCCCAUGGAUUCUUCACCCCAUGGAUCCUUCACAUGGAUCUUCCAUCCCAUGGAUCCUUUACUCCAUGGAUCCUUCACCCCAUGGGCCCUGCAUUCCACGGAUCCCUCAUCCCAUGGAUCCUCCAUCCCAUGGGUGCUUCACAUGGAUCCUUCACCUAAUGGAUUCUUUACCCCAUGCAUCCUUCAUCCCAUGGAUCUUUCACCCCAUGGACCCUCCACCCCAUGGAUUCUGCAUCUCAUGGAUGCUUCACUCCAUGGAUCCUUCACCCCAUGGGCCCCAGUGGAGGUGCAGGAAGGCCCUCGGGAAUGGGGAAACGGAGGCAGGAGCAUUUGGGAUGGCUCUGGAUGCUGCAUCCCUGCCUCGGCUCAAGGUUGGUGCCCUGCUCAUGGAAUUCCCUGUGGAAAACAAGGGAUGGAGCGAGGGGGUGGGGUAGGACCAUGCCUGGUGUGAUGGGAAUUCUUCAACCCUGGGAGCUCAUUUUUGUGGGAAAACCGGGAAUUACAGCAUGGGGAGGGAGAGCAGAGCCUUGGGAAAGGCUGGGAAAGGCUGGGGCAAGGAGGGAUCCGGGUUUGGGAUGGGGCAGGAGCCCUCCCCACGCGUCACCACCCCAAUGUCUCACCGGGUUGUUCUCCAGGGCCACCUUGACCUCGGGGACGUCGGUGCCUGUGAGGAGAAAACAAGGAUGCGAUGCCGAGCCAGAGCCUCCUCUUGGGAAAAUCCCACCUGGCAGCAAGGGAAGGGCAACUCUGAUCCCCUUCCCUCCAGUCUGGGAUGGCCCGGGGGGUUUGGGAUGCUCUGGGAAGCCGGGAAUGAGCAUUUCCAGGGGCCUGUGGGACCGGGGGAGACCCCAAAGGGGCUUUGGCCAUAAAAAUGAUGGAGGAAAUCCCAGCCCCGGGGGGGAUAAGGAGGCAUGGGAGGAAAAGUGGGGAGAGGAGGAAGAGAAGGAGGAGGAGGAGGAGAAAAGGAGAAGGAGAAGGAGAAGGAGAAAAGGAGAAGGAGGAGGAGAAAAGGAGAAGGAGAAGGAGAAGGAGAAAAGGAGAAGGAGAAGGAGAAAAGGAGAAGGAGAAGGAGAAAAGGAGAAGGAGAAGGAGAAGGAGAAGGAGAAGGAGAAGGAGAAGGAGGAGGAGAAAAGGAGAAGGAGAAGGAGAAAAGGAGAAGGAGAAGGAGAA
rnacentral:lncRNA from 13 species